UACAGAGGUCCCAAGCGUUGUUCGGAUUCAUUGGGCGUAAAGGGUGCGUAGGUGGUGCUGUAAGUCAGGUGUGAAAUCUCGGGGCUCAACCCCGAAACUGCAUUCGAUACUGCGGUGCUUGAGGACUGGAGAGGAGACUGGAAUUCAUGGUGUAGCAGUGAAAUGCGUAGAGAUCAUGAGGAAGACCAGUGGCGAAGGCGGGUCUCUGGACAGUUCCUGACACUGAGGCACGAAGGCCAGGGGAGCAAACGGG
rnacentral:rRNA from 1 species